rnacentral:rRNA from 1 species
UACGUAGGGGGCAAGCGUUGUCCGGAUUUAUUGGGCGUAAAGAGCGUGUAGGCGGCCAUACAGGUCAGCUGUGAAAACUCGAGGCUCAACCUCGAGACGUCGGUUGAAACCGUAUGGCUAGAGUCCGGAAGAGGAGAGUGGAAUUCCCGGUGUAGCGGUGAAGUGCGCAGAUAUCGGGAAGAGCACCCGUGGCGAAGGCGGCUCUCUGGGACGGUACUGACGCUGAGACGCGAAAGCGUGGGGAGCGAACAGG